AAAAAGGUAUUUCUGUCUCUUGUGUGAUUAUUCUGUACAGCCCACUUCACCUGGAAUAACCCUCAGUGUUUUAGUCAUGAGAAACCCGACAAUUUGUGGCCCAUACAGAGUGACUCAGGAUGACUUUUAGAAAUUUAGUGGGUUUGAAAUUUUUCUUCAGAAGUUAAGCAUGCUUAGGAUUGCAGAGUAUUGUGGGCUGAAUUGUAGAAAGUAAGUGAAUUAGACAGAAGAGAAAUCUAUGAUGCUAAACUUUUUAAUAUUUGGGAAUAGUUUGUCUUUAGAAAGAAAAAUAUAUUUUUAUAAUUCUAGGGAAUUAUAAAAUAAUGUAAAGAAUUAUUAAGAUGAUUAGUGGGAUAUGCUGUUAAGUUUGGUCCUCUUCCCAUGGGAAAAGUGCUUUUGUGGACUUUUUUGAAUUGUUUUGUGAAUCUUUAUAUUUUGAAAUAUUAGGUAAAGAUUUUUGGGGUUUAUAUACUAGAAGUCUGUGCUUGGAGAGUGAGAAAAAGAGAAGGAAAAUUUUGUGAUGAGACUUAAUAAAAGGAUUCUUUACCUGUAGAGGAGUGAAUUUUAUUUUCCUAUUGUUUUUGUGAAUACUCAGAACGCUUAUACUGAACUCUUUGCUACAUUCUUGUCCUACUGGAUCAGAAUAGCUGGAACUCAGCUGCUGCAGACACAAGACUUGAGCCACUUUCCCCGAUAGUGUCUGUAACUAGACCCACCACCAGCAGUGCUUUUAACCCUUAAGCAACCUGGCCUGGGUGCCAAACGCAGACUGCCUUAAAAUCUGAUAGUAACACUGGUGUCUGCCAUUAAAACUCACUUUUAAAGUCUCACAUGCUACAAGGGAAAGUACAAAAUACAG
rnacentral:lncRNA from 1 species